rnacentral:lncRNA from 1 species
GAAAAAAAAAAGAGAGAGAUUAAAGAAAAAUGCUCAAAUUGUUAUUUUCCAUUGCUUGCACUUAUUGUUCAUUGAUCUCACCAUUGCACAUCAUUUAGCUGCUAAUACAAUGCAUGCAUAGUGGUCGACUGGUUGUCUUGUCACUUCUAGUUUCAGUACCCAAACAUGGACUUUUCACAAUUUGAUGAACUCACUCGACAAAUAGCAGCUAUCCAAACCCAGAUGACUGCUACUCUUCAACAAAGUAAGGCCCUCUCCGCUAGUCUGAACAACUUUAAGCAAAUCCCUCAUUCGAUUGAUGUUAAUAAUUCUAAAGUGUCUCACAAUAGACGAUAUCAUCGUCGACAAGGUGAUCAAAAAUAUUUUCAACACGAUUGUAAGGAAAGGGAUCAAGUUCGUGAGCGAGAACGAGACCAUGGUCGUCAUGGUACUCAUUCUCUUUCUCGUCAUAAGGAGCGUUUCUUUAGAGAUUAAAUUAGAUAAUCCUACAUUCGAUGGUUGCUUAAACAUGAAAUUUUUACUCAAUGGAACACCCUUACACAAGGAAAUCGGCUAGUAACUGAGUACACUGCUCAAUUUGAGGAAUUUCGAAUGAAAUGUCAUGUCGUUGAGGAUGAGGCCCUGACCUUGAGUAGGUUUAUACAAGGUCUAAGAGAUGAACUUAGGCGUGAGCUUUUCUUUCGAGGCGACGCUACUCUUGAUCACGCUUAUUCUUUAGCCCAAGAUUAUAAGUUGAUUAUUAAUACUCCAUAUGAAAGGCGCAAUCACCAUCGUUCACCCAUCUCAUUAGCGCCACAUCAUCAUAAGUCUGUCAUAGAACCUUCCCCGUCUAGUGUGCCUCCCAUUUGGAAAAAU